UCCAAACCAAAGGCUCAGCUCUGCUCACAG
rnacentral:piRNA from 1 species